rnacentral:rRNA from 1 species
GAACGCUGGCGGCGUGCUUAACACAUGCAAGUCGAACGAUGAACCUGGAGCUUGCUCUGGGGGAUUAGUGGCGAACGGGUGAGUAACACGUGAGUAACCUGCCCUGGACUCUGGGAUAAGCGUUGGAAACGACGUCUAAUACCGGAUAGGACCUCGGAUCGCAUGAUCUGGGGUGGAAAGUUUUUUCGGUCUGGGAUGGACUCGCGGCCUAUCAGCUUGUUGGUGAGGUAACGGCUCACCAAGGCGUCGACGGGUAGCCGGCCUGAGAGGGUGACCGGCCACACUGGGACUGAGACACGGCCCAGACUCCUACGGGAGGCAGCAGUGGGGAAUAUUGCACAAUGGGCGAAAGCCUGAUGCAGCAACGCCGCGUGCGGGAUGACGGCCUUCGGGUUGUAAACCGCUUUUAGUAGGGAAGAAGGGCUUCGGCUUGACGGUACCUGCAGAAAAAGGACCGGCUAACUACGUGCCAGCAGCCGCGGUAAUACGUAGGGUCCGAGCGUUGUCCGGAAUUAUUGGGCGUAAAGAGCUCGUAGGCGGUUUGUCGCGUCUGCUGUGAAAACUGGAGGCUCAACCUCCAGCCUGCAGUGGGUACGGGCAGACUAGAGUGCGGUAGGGGAGAAUGGAAUUCCUGGUGUAGCGGUGGAAUGCGCAGAUAUCAGGAGGAACACCGAUGGCGAAGGCAGUUCUCUGGGCCGUAACUGACGCUGAGGAGCGAAAGCGUGGGGAGCGAACAGGAUUAGAUACCCUGGUAGUCCACGCCGUAAA